AACGAACGCUGGCGGCAUGCCUAACACAUGCAAGUCGAACGAGACCUUCGGGUCUAGUGGCGCACGGGUGCGUAACGCGUGGGAACCUGCCCUUAGGUUCGGAAUAACUCACCGAAAGGGGUGCUCAUACCGGAUAAUGUCUUCGGACCAAAGAUUUAUCGCCUUUGGAUGGGCCCGCGUUGGAUUAGCUAGUUGGUAGGGUAAAAGCCUACCAAGGCGACGAUCCAUAGCUGGUCUGAGAGGAUGAUCAGCCACACUGGGACUGAGACACGGCCCAGACUCCUACGGGAGGCAGCAGUGGGUAAUAUUGGACAAUGGGCGAAAGCCUGAUCCAGCAAUGCCGCGGGAGUGAUGAAGGCCUUAGGGUUGUAAAGCUCUUUUACCCGGGAUGAUAAUGACAGUACCGGGAGAAUAAGCUCCGGCUAACUCCGUG
rnacentral:rRNA from 1 species